rnacentral:rRNA from 1 species
UACGUAGGGAGCAAGCGUUGUCCGGAAUCAUUGGGCGUAAAGCGCGCGUAGGCGGCCCGAUAAGUCCGCUGUAAAAGUCAACGGCUCAACUGUUGAAAGCCGGUGGAUACUGUCGGGCUAGAGUACGGAAGAGGCAAGUGGAAUUCCUGGUGUAGCGGUGGAAUGCGCAGAUACUCGAGGAGGAACACCUAUAGCGAAGGCAGCUUGCUGGGACGUUACUGACGCUAAGGCGCGAAAGCGUGGGGAGCGAACAGG